GAAUUUUGGACAAUGGGCGAAAGCCUGAUCCAGCAAUGCCGCGUGCAGGAUGAAGGCCUUCGGGUUGUAAACUUCUUUUGUACGGAACGAACAGCUUUGGGUUAAUACCCUGGCUUCAUGACGGUACCGUACUAAUAACCCCCGGCUAACUACGUCCCAGCAGCCGCGGUAAUCCGUAGGGUGCAAGCGUUAAUCGGAAUUACUGGGCGUAAAGCGUGCGCAGGCGGUUUUGUAAGACAGAGGUGAAAGCACCGGGCUCAACCUGGGAACGACCUUUGUGACUGAAAGGCUAGAGUACGGCAGAGGGGGGUGGAAUUCCGCGUGUAGCAGUGAAAUGCGUAGAUAUGCGGAGGAACACCGAUGGCGAAGGCAACCCCCUGGGCAUGUACUGGCGCUCAUGCACGAAAGCGUGGGGAGCAAACAGG
rnacentral:rRNA from 1 species